UAAGGAAAGCCGUGGGACGCUAG
rnacentral:piRNA from 1 species